UACGGAGGAUGCAAGCGUUAUCCGGAAUGAUUGGGCGUAAAGCGUCCGCAGGUGGCGAUGUAAGUCUGCUGUUAAAGAGUCUAGCUCAACUAGAUAAGAGCAGUGGAAACUACAUAGCUAGAGUACGUUCGGGGCAGAGGGAAUUCCUGGUGUAGCGGUGAAAUGCGUAGAGAUCAGGAAGAACACCAGUGGCGAAGGCGCUCUGCUAGGCCGUAACUGACACUGAGGGACGAAAGCUAGGGGAGCGAAUGGG
rnacentral:rRNA from 2 species